rnacentral:rRNA from 1 species
ACGCUCGACACCUACGGGGGGCAGCAGUAGGGAAUCUUCCACAAUGGACGCAAGUCUGAUGGAGCAACGCCGCGUGAGUGAAGAAGGUUUUCGGAUCGUAAAGCUCUGUUGUUGGUGAAGAAGGAUAGAGGUAGUAACUGGCCUUUAUUUGACGGUAAUCAACCAGAAAGUCACGGCUAACUACGUGCCACAGCCGCGGUAAUCUGAGCGGGCUGGCAAGGC